CAUUCUCCAGAUUUACUCUGCAGUAAAUAAUCUUUCAAUUACUCGCUAUUUGUUUUUAAUUGUUACGCAAUUAGCAGCCGCUGAUUCUAAUGUUCUAAUUAAGCUACAAAACUUGGAAAUUCAAAAUAAAUUUUUUGCCGCUUAAAAAAAUUUUUUUAAUUUUUGAAUUUUUUAACCGGAAAUUGAAUGAAAUCUUUUUGUUUUGAGCUACAGAUUGUAAAAAUAUAUAAAAAUUAUUGUUGGUAAUUAAAAUUUCCGGUGAAAACGAGAAACAAAAUAGUGCACACCCUCAGAGCGCGGGGUGUGCGCAAUUUUUUCGCUGUCUUUUAUGAAGGAUUUAAUGGCAAGUAAUAAUUUAUUAGCUUGUAAUUUAAAGGUCAAUGUACUGAAUAAAGUAAUUCUCAAGAUUAAAUAGCAAAGCGGAUGUCCAGAUGCUUUGAGUCAGCUGUCAUAACCGUCAAUUUAUUUUCGAGCACAACUUUUGCCAAAUUGCUCAGCGCAAAAAGUAAAAUUUAAAAUAAAGCUAAAAAAGUAAAGCUUUCGUCAGCUUGCAGAUAAGUAUAAAAAAAUUUAAACCAGGGGAAAAAGAUAAUACGAAAUUAGAACUCACGCGGCCUUUGUGCUCAUGAGCGUCAUUAGACGGUAUUUUUCAGGGUAGCAUCAGUUUUAAGACAUGAGAGAACGAGACGGACGGUUUUUUGAUCAUCUAAAAUACAAUAUUAUACAAACUGAUGCACACCAGCAAGCAAGUGUCCCUGGGAGGCAUUAUUGCUGCCAAACAUCCAGAAUAGACAGGUCGAAUGCAAUAAAUUGGCUAUCAAAUAGGUGAGAAUGAAAUACUGGUGACAGAGGUUAACACCUUAAUGACAGCUAUAGAGUAUUUAAUCGUGCCAAUAAAUUGGCGCGUGUAGCAAUUAAAAUAAUAUCGGAUCGUACGAUAUCACGGUAUAAUAACACACCAGUGAUAUGUUGAUAAGAUCCAAUUUGUACACGAGCUGAGCGACUAAAUUCUUCCAAUUGGGACACCGAAUUUAUGCGAAUAAAUUUUUAAGAGGGAUGAUUAAGUGCGUACAUGCGAGUUGAUGACAGAUACAAGCUGCUUGUAUUCUAGCCAGCAAUAAAACUGGCCCAGAGAAAAUAAAAGUAAACCUCUGGUUGAUUAGUUACUUUAUCGGUCUAUUUAUAGGCUAUUGCAAUUAUUGGCAUCAACUGUAACCAUUUAAUUUUUCCACGUCGAUUUAUGAUAUUGUUUUUUUUAUUUAUCAUUUUAUUAUUUGUAGCUGAUGGAUGUUCGCUGAGG